GCGAGAGUGGCGGAAUUGGCAGACGCGCUGGAUUUAGGAUCCAGUGGGCAUAGCCCGUGGAGGUUCGAGUCCUCUCUCUCGCA
rnacentral:tRNA from 1 species